CCUACGGGAGGCAGCAGUGGGGAAUAUUGCACAAUGGGGGAAACCCUGAUGCAGCGACGCCGCGUGAGUGAAGAAGUAUUUCGGUACGUAAAGCUCUAUCAGCAGGGAAGAAAAUGACGGUACCUGACUAAGAAGCCCCGGCUAAAUACGUGCCAGCAGCCGCGGUAAUACGUAGGGGGCAAGCGUUAUCCGGAUUUACUGGGUGUAAAGGGAGCGUAGACGGUAGCGCAAGUCUGGAGUGAAAUCCCAUGGCUUAACCAUGGAAAUGCUUUGGAAACUGUGCAGCUAGAGUGCAGGAGAGGUAAGCGGAAUUCCUAGUGUAGCGGUGAAAUGCGUAGAUAUUAGGAGGACCACCAGUGGCGAAGGCGGCUUACUGGACUGUAACUGACGUUGAGGCUCGAAAGCGUGGGGAGCAAACAGGAUUAGAUACCCGAGUAGUC
rnacentral:rRNA from 1 species